UACGUAGGGUGCGAGCGUUGUCCGGGUUUAUUGGGCGUAAAGGGCUCGUAGGCGGUCUGUCACGUCGGGAGUGAAAACUCAGGGCUUAACCCUGAGCCUGCUUCCGAUACGGGCAGACUAGAGGUAUGCAGGGGAGAAUGGAAUUCCUGGUGUAGCGGUGAAAUGCGCAGAUAUCAGGAGGAACACCGGUGGCGAAGGCGGUUCUCUGGGCAUUACCUGACGCUGAGGAGCGAAAGUGUGGGGAGCGAACAGG
rnacentral:rRNA from 1 species